UGCCCCUAUUGAAAUGCAGACCGAAAAAGCAAAGAGUUUUCUAUAAUUUAUUUUAUAGAUUUUAUGGCAGCAAUACAAAGCCUAAACAAUUGGUUACACAUUAAUAUAUAGUAUUCUCAGGUCCCUUUGUUCAUGGUCCCCCAUUUUCCAUUUCCAGCUUAAAUUGCCAUAACAAUUGCAAUUAUUGGCAAUUUCAUGGGCACUUGGGGACAGCCUACAGCCCUACGACCGUCUGGUAUGGUCUGUAAUCGAGGCCAUGCGCGAAAAAAGGGAGCGGACCAAAGAGAGGAAGAGCUGGUGAGAUAAGCUCGCUUGAGAGAGUGCGAGUGUAACGACUCAUGGCUCGCCUACGUCACAAAUGUAGUGUUUGAGUUUGUUUUGACUCUUGCUUCGCGUUGAUAAUGCAAAAUAAACGAUAAAUAGCAACUCGGA